CUCACAGCAGCAGGUGGGGACAGGUCCCCCCGGUCCUUGGGGCUGAGGGGUGGGGAUCUGAUGUGAGUGCAGAGGGGGCCCUGAAGGGUUUACUCAGGGAGAGAACAUGAUGGGAGUACUCACAGCCAUCACUCUGUCAGUGGAGUGAGGAUGAGUGGGGUCGGGAGACCAGCUAGGAACUGCCCAGGAUCGAGAACCAGAGUGACGAGCAUGUCUCGAGGGGGCAGCAGUGCACUGGAGUCGGCCCGAGUCAGCCUGAACUGAGGGGGAAGGUUCAGAAAUUUUGUCAGCCCAUUGUUUACCACAGGCGUUAUUAAAUAUUAUUAUGUUAACUUGUGAUGAGAUAAAUUACAUUAAAAACAAAGGGAACAAAUACUCAAAAC
rnacentral:lncRNA from 1 species